AUUAAGAUUUUCUUAUCCCCUGCUAUGUUAAUAGCUUGCUAGACCCUGCAAGAGCCUCCUGUAUGUGAUUAAAGUUCAAUUUAGAGAUUGAGAUACAAUUAUUUAAGGUAAACUAGAAAAGCUACAAUUUCUGGGGAAAUUGUGUGAAGUGUUCUUGCCUCCACCAGUAGUCUACAACUGGAGUGUGCGGAGUAACUGUUAUUAUUUAUUUAUAUAGCCAUUUAAUUGCAACGUUGUUGCCCAAAGUGCUUCGCGGUUACAUUAAAACAUACAUUUAUAAAAACAUUAGCAGGUGUACAAAUGGCCCUGUCUAUGACAUCACUUGCUGCUCCAGCCUGGCACAGGUCACAGUAUUUUGGCGGUUGCCAUCUUCAAACAGUCGUAUUUUAAAAACUGUGCAUCCUACAGCGAAGAGCUUUAUAUUGUGAGACUCACAAGACCCAGGCCUACAUUUUGAUGCAUAGUAUGUCUCUUAAAAAUGAAGGCACCGUCGCAGUUUAGAAAUUGCCCUUCAAAUUUGAGCUGUCUAGAGUGGAGUUUCAAUGAAUGUCAAUAGACGACGUGAGUUGCAAACAAAUGGUCAUAAUGUAAAAACUAUCAGGACUAUGGCUUAGCCAUGGACAUUUUUAGUGGCAGCAGGGAUAGCUGAAUGUUUUGAUAUAAGAUUGGUGUAGGUGGGCUUGCAAAUGAAGGAGUGGUGGCAGUUUAGAAAUCAUGUCCUGAUUUUUCAGCUUUUGCCAGCUCCCACUCUAGUUUUGAACAUUUUGCCAAUCAUUCCUAUGGGACCAAUUUCGCCACAAUAACGACGAUAUUCCGUGAACCAUUCGGCGAAACGUUCCACAAAGUAAUAGCAAUCCAAUCUGGAACAAUCCGCACGUUUCGGUAUAUUUCUGUCUAUGUAGUGUAAAAACUGUGGGAGGAGUUAGGGUGGUAAAUUUGGCUAUAAUAAUAAUAAUAAUAAUAUAUAUGUGAGAUAACAUUAAGUGGUCUUGCUAUGGAGGAACACUUAAUUACAUCUGUUUGAAAGUGAAACCAGUUUUUUUUUUCAUGCAGGCUCUGUCAAUCAUAGCCAGGGGAGGUGUGGCUAGGGCUGCAUAAACAGAAACAAAGUGAUUUAACUCCUAAAUGACAGUGAAUUGAGCAGUGAAAUUGCAGGGGAAUGAUCUAUACAUUAAAACUGCUUUAUUUAGCUCAAGUAAUUUAGGUGACUAUAGUGUUCCUUUAAUAACUUACAUCAAAAUAUAAAAUCAUCACUGUAGUCCUUCUAUAUCACCACCAGGGGUCCUACGCGUUUCAUCCAGAAAAAUAGGACUUCCUCAGGGACUUGCGUGGUGAUGAUCAACUGAUACAAAUGAACAUAAAAUAAGCAAUUUGUCACGCAAGUCCAUGAUAAUCUUUACAUCAAAGACUGUGAUCUUUAGCAGUGAAAUCAUAGUAGGUGAUGUCAUGCUGUGAUGUCAUAAACAUAACUGCUGCUGCAACUACUUGAACAUUUUAUUUCUUCUUUAUUAUAACUGAGGCUCUGACAGAUCAUCACCUAGAUUCAUGGUUAUCAUACCUUCUCAAUGGCAUAGAGAUCUCUACUUCACUUGGAUGUGUCUGAAGACUUGAAGCUUGACUACCCUCAAUCUGAUCUCAGCAAUGGAGGUUCUAGCAUGGGGCAAUAUAUUUUGCUCUGCUACUCAUAUACCCAUUAUCAAAAGUUGGUUCUUCUUCAAAGGGGAUUUUAAGCAUUGCGUGCACUGCUUUGGUUGGGUUGCAAAUAGGGGAGCGAGAGAAUCUGCUUUAGUAAGCUUUCUGUAUAUAUAUCUGCCUGUUUGUCUAUCUAUGUCUGAUAAAUAAUUACCUUGCAGGGUUAACUCCUCCUCUAGUGGCUGUCUACUAGACAGCCACUAGAGGGCACUUCCUGCUUCAUUGCACAGGUUUUCUGUGCUAGAGCGUCGCUGGACGUCCUCACGCUGUGUGAGGAUCUCCAGCGUCGCUCAAUUCCCCAUAGGAAAGCAUUGAAAAGCAUUUUCAAUGCUUUCCUAUGGAGAGCUCUGGUGCGCAUGGGCGGCAUUGCCGCGCAUACGCAUUAGGUCUCCUCAGCCGGCAGGCGGAAUCAGUCUCCCCUGCCGGCUGACGUAAUGAAGAGGAGGAGCGGCGGUGAUCUGAAACCAACGCUUCAGCAACUGGGGAUGGAUUAUUUUCCUGGCACUGGAGAGUCCCUUAAAGUCUAUAUUAAUCUUCUCAAGAAAAUCAAGCCAGAUAUACAUAGUCUUUAGCAUUUUUAUUCCAUAGUAACCGUCUCUUUAAUAACUAGAAUGAAAUACCCUGUCUUCUUAACAUUAUGAAAAUGUGACAGUCUAGCUUAGGAGUUUCCUCUGUUAUGCGUUGAUACGCCUGUUGUAUGUCUACCUGGUAUAACUCCUUUUUUUCUCUUCUGUAAACCGUGAAUCAAAUGCCAUAAUAAAGGAGAGAUUAAUAAAACAAACACCCUAUAACAGGAAGUGAUCAGAUCCACUUUUUCAGCACUCAAAGACAGAACGGAGUGUGCAGCCCAUAAAGAUAAACAUCCCUCUGCUGGUUCUUACACUGGGUCUGGGUUCUACGGAGAAAACCUGCUGCUCUCUGGUACAGAGCAAUAUAUGAGAAAUGAUCUCUGUCCAUGCGUCUUGCUCCUUUUAUUUCCAUGAAAGUAUCAUCAUACGAUCACCUAGUGUAUCUUAUGGGAAAUAGGACACUGUGAAAGGUCGAGUUUCUUUCAUAUUUAAGUUAUGAGAUAUUUCCCAAUCCCAGAUGUACUUGCUUUGGGUGCUCCAAUAUGUUGUGUUGCCCUUCGCUUCAUCAUGUUUUUUGUCAACUAGUUUUAUACAACAACACCAGGUUUGUCAUUAUAUUGCUGGUGUACUAUAAACACAUUGAGCAUGAUAUAGGUAUGUGUCACCUUGUCCACACACUAUUAUUAUUUACUAAAGUGAGACUUCAAAGUGCAUUUCAAAUUUAAAGACAAAGUAAUUGGAAGCAUAGCUGACUGCAGUUUAACUAUUUUGACCUUAAAUUGAAAAUUCACUAUGAAUUCUCAUUUUAUUAAAUAACCUUGUAUUAGAAUGGGAUUCAGAACUUCAUCCUAAAAGGAACACGUAUACACACAUGUAUUCCUGACACUAUAGUUCUAAAUGCGCCAUUGAGGUGUCCGCCCCCCCCCAUGCUCCUCCGUUAAAAAGUUGUUAAACUCACCUUUUUUCCAGUGUCACAUGUGUCUCAUCAUAGCUGGCCCUGGCCCAUUUCACGUACAUGUCUGAGAUAAUCAAAUGUGACAAUCUCAGCCAAUCCAACUCUUUACCAGUAGGAAAGCAUUGGGAGGCUAUUGUACCACCACGGUGCGCCAUUCAGCAUCUCUGAUGCAGCACUGACUCAGGAACCACCUCUAGUGGCUGUCUAAGUGACUGCCACUAGAGGUGUCCCUAGUCAGUAAUGUAAACACUGCCUUUUCUCUGAAAAAUCAGUGUUAACAUAAAAAAAGUCUGCAGGGACAUGCUAUAGACACCAGAAACACUACAUUAAGCUAUAGCUGUUUUGGUGACUACAGUGUCCCUUUAAUGUCAAAUUUGUUCUUCACUGAGGACUCAUCUCCAAAUAUAUUUCUUUCUACUACCUGCAUAUUUUUACCAUAUUUACUUGAAACUAAUGCACCAUCGAAUCUGAUGCGCACCUCAAAUUUUGAAACCUGGAAUCUGAAAAAUGUUUUUGCUGGUGAAUGUAAUGCACAUUUAUAAAGAUACUACUAUGCAACAUUGUGCUACAAUGAAAAUGUUUAUUACAAUAUACCAUAGUAACAUUGAUGGUAUUUAAAUUUUAGUGUUACAUGUUAAGUAGGGAUGUGCAUUGGUCAAAAAUUCGGUUCAGUUCAGAAAUUCAGGUAAGUAAAAAAAUUGGAAAUUCGUCACUUCGGUUCGGCACAUGAACUUCGGCAAUUCAGGACUUUGGCAAUUCAGCACUUAGGCAAUUCAGGACUUCAGCAAUUCGGAACAUAUGUAGGGCUCCGUAACCCUACCCCUAACCCUACUCCUGUCAUCAUUCACAUAAUUUUCCCUCCCUCUCUUGUUUUGCCACUUUUCAGAAAUCCGAAGCAAUUUGGAAAUUUGGCACUUCUGACAUUCGGAAGAACCCGAAUGUCUGAAUUACCCGAAAUACAUCAAAAUUCACAUUUGGAAUGAAACUGUGUGAAUUCGCCAGGAAAUUCUAAUUUCACCCCGAAUGUAAUGCGCCAUCAAAUCUAAUGCCCAUUCAAAUUUUGGAAACUUUCAUUUUCGAUUUUGAUACGGUAUAUUGAUUUUAUAGAUGUUGUUGGACAUAUGUUUUUCAGCAAAAAUCUUUUACUCCAAAAAUUCUAAUAGUGUAAUAGCAGCUCAACACACUUAAAUGUGGGAGUACCCCUAUGCCCACACACAGAAAAAGUACAAAUGUGACAAAAAGUGAUAAAGUGGAGCACUAAAGAAAGUGCUAGUGCAUUUAUAUUUACCCUCAGUACAAUAGUAUUUCACGGGUGUAUAGCGAACACAUAAAAGAAGAAAACAAAAAACAAGAAUAUGUAGUGCAGAUGGUAAUACACAUGGAAUUUAGGAUAAUAAAUUAUAAGAUCCACUCACAUGGACCAGAGCCUGUAACUACUGGCUCUGUAAUCAACGCUGUUAUGCCUUUAUGGUAGCAUACUACCAUUCAUUAAGUGGAUCUCCGAAAUGUGGAUAUAUGAAACAAGAGAGAGAGAACUCCAAUGGUACAGUAUAUUUUGUAUUCCUAUAUAUACUGGCUUAAAAACUUUAAGCUCACCUUAUUCAGAGCCCACAAAUCCUGGCUCUGGAAUUGAGUACCUGUUGCCUAAUUCAAGGUUGGCAAAACCUCAAAUGGAUCCCUUCUGGAGUUGAGAAUCACAUAGGACCAAAACUGUGCUAAAUAGAUAAUACAAAUUUAUUUCCAAAAGUAUGGUAAAACAAAUUGAUAAAACAAAUAUAAAAACACUAAGUCCAUUGGGCUGAGCUGAUAGUAAAUUGUAGAGUUCCCCUUCUGAGCUGUGUGUUCCUCAGGGAACCAGGAGUAGCGGGAACAGGUGAUUUCGCUAGAUUAAGGCCUGUGAUUUGUGAUCCUGUUCAGCCUCUGAGUAGUCUGCUCACACAGGGCUGAGGGCAGGCAGGCGUACUGUCGGCUCAUUAAGGGAGGCUGGUAGCGGAGCAGUUCAAAGAGGGAGGCAGGCCGCAGGCAGUUCAAUGAGGGAGGUAAUUCACAACUCACAAGAGUAGAGCCAAUAGGUCACCUGGCUCUAGUGUGAAGCGCUCUGUGAUCUUAUAAGGGGAGAUCAACUACCCACUGAACGUGUAUCCUUCUGGUUUCUUCCUCCUUUGUGUAUAUCAAGCAGACAGGAAGGUCCCAAUGAUGAAAGGAUCCAAGAUUUAUUAAUAAAACAAAUUAACACUUAUAAUAAAAAAUAUAAUAAAAUAUAUAGGCUUAUGUAAGUCCACAAUAAUUGUAAAUAUAAUCCAAAACGCGUUUCGCCAGAAACCUGGCUUCCUCAGUUGGUUAAAAAGUUGUCCGGCUUCUUUUUAAUGAAUUUAUACCUCCAUUGAUUGAUUCAUUGCGUCCAUGUGACCGGAAGUAGUUGCUAUGGAACGCACGUUCCGUCUAAUGGAACGCACGUUACUUCCCUGCAAUCAUGUUGUUUGACUUCCUGUUCUGUGGAACGCAUUCGUGCGUUCCUUUUCCCUUCAAGAGUCCUUUUUGCAACACUCUAUGUUAAAUUGCGGUUCAUGAGCACUCCUUCAAAAAAAGAAGAAGAUAUAAACAGCAGCAACAAUCCAAUUUGUCCAAAAUAACAGUAAACCAAAAUACCAAUAAACCAUCAUAUCAAUAAACUAAAAAUAAUCUUUAAAAUUAUGACUAAUCCUGCAAAAUGAUCAUGAGCUAGACAUAUAUGUUUUAUCCAAAGUACAUUAAUAUUUCCAUAUUAUGUAUAUGGUACUAUACAUGUGUAUAUAUAUAUAUAUAUAUAUAUAUAUAUAUAUAAUUCAUAAAUGUGCCAAUCCAUAAAAUAUACAAAAAAUACGAAAUAUAUCACAAAUAUAUUGGAGAGGAAGAGAAUUAACCAUAUAGAAAUGGGUCUUAUUACUUUUAUGGUAAAAUAUAAAAAAUUGUAAAAAUAAAUAAUGUAUAAAAAAUAUAUGAAAUAUGAUAAAUAUUCUUGUAUACAAAUCUGUAAAAUUAUAUAAAUUUAUAAAAAAUGGCACAAUUCAAAAUCUAUAUUUAAGCCGUGAAGUGCUAAAGUAUUUAAAUUAAAAAUGAGUUUCAUUUCUUCGAUUCCGAUUUUUUUAGUAAAAUCUCCUCCCCUCCAAUUUCUCUUAACCACUUUCAGUGCACAGAAUGAGAGGUCUUUUGGAUCUUGGUUGUGGAAAUAUUUGAAGUGAUGUGAAACACUAUGUGUUUCUAUUCCCUUUUUAAUAUUUCUUACAUGUUCUGAAACUCUAACAUGUAGGCAUCUUAUUGUUCUCCCUAUGUAUAAUAAUUCACAUGGACAUUUUAAUAGAUAAAUUAUAUUUUUAGAGAAGCAUGUAAGCUGAUCUCUUAUUUCAAAAUCUUUUUUUGUAAACUCUUUAAUAUUCUUUAUAUUUCUUUUCUUGCUAUUUGUUUCCCUACAUGCUGCGCAUGUUCCACAUCCAUAAAAGCCUUUAUUCUUAAUUAGAAAAUUGUUUUGAUUUGAUUAAUCUUUAUAAUUUCUUUUCACUAAGACAUUUCUAAUAUUAUUACACCCUCUAUGUACUAUUCUGGGUCUUAGAGGAAGAAUGUUUUUUAAAAUGGGAUCAUUAUCUAGAAGAUGCCAAUAUUUAUGAAUGGCAUGUCGCACUUGUUUAUUUUUAGCAGAGAAAUUACAAAUGAAUGGGGUAUCUUUAUUUUUAUUCUCCUUCGUUUUCGUUUUAUACUUCAGUAAUCCCUUUCUCUCCAUCUUUUUCACUUCAUCCAGAUUAAAAUCUAGAUCCCUUUCUUUGUAACCUUUUUCCAGAAACUGUUUUUUAAUCACUACAGUUUGUGUAUUAAAAUCUUUAUCUUGUAUACAAUUUCUUCGUAAUCUCAUGAAUUGACUCUUGGGGGCAUUUUUGAGCCAUGGAUUGUAGUGGCAACUUUUGAGAUCUAUGUAACCAUUACAAUCUACUUCUUUAAAAUAAUUCUUAGUUUGAAUGUCCCCAUCCUCCACAAAGAUGGUGAGAUCUAAAAAGUUGAUUUCCUGUCUACUUGAGGUAGAGGUGAGAAUGAUUCCCCAAUCAUUGGAAUUUAAGGAACUUAAAAAAUCAGUGAGACUCGCUUCAUUUCCUUUCCAUAUAAAAAAUAUAUCGUCAAUGAAACGGUGAUAGGUAACCAAAUUCUCAUAUAAAGAAUGUGUGAAAAUAAAUUGCUCUUUCCAGUACGCCAUAAACAAGUUGGCGUAACUGGGCGCAAAUUUGGUUCCCAUUGCCGUUCCAUUGACCUGCAUAAAAAAGAUCAAAGAUCUCCCUCACCAACCCACAGGCAGUUACAGGCAGCCGCCGGCUGGGGAGUGAGGGAGGGAAGAGAGAGGAUUCUGAAUGUUGCAGCGGUUACCACGGUAACGCUCAGAUCUCUCACCACUGGACCACCAGGGAAGGAUGUCAGCACGGCUCCCCACCCCCCAGGCAGAACGGAUCUCCUCCCCCCCUCCCAGGAUAAAGGUAAGAAGGGGGGGGGGGAACAUAACUUUUUUUUUUAAUUAUUAAUAAAAAAAAAAUAUUUUAAAUAAAUUCCCACACAGCACCCCCAGACACACACACAGCACCCCCAGACACACACAGCGCCCUCAGACACACAGCACCCCCAGACACACACACACAACACCCCCAGACACACACAACACCCUCAGACGCAGACAGCACCCUCAGACGCAGACAGCACCCUCAGACAGACAGCACCCUCACUCCCACACAUAUACAGCACACACAUAUAUAUAUAUAUAUAUUAUAUAAAAUAACCCUCAGUGAGUUAACAGACAAAGAUAAUUAGAAACCUAGAAUGUGACGGCAGAUAAAAACACCCUCACACACAGCACCCCUCUUACACAAACACACUGCGCACCUCACACAUACAAUACGUCCAAAUAUAUUCUAAAUAUAUAUACACACACUACAGCAUCCCUCACACUGCACCACUACACACAUUACACUCCAGAUACACGCUAGAUCCCUUACCCUAUAUGCACUUUUAAUCCUCUACACACACACAUACACACACAAUCUUCUAUACACACUCUGGGUCCUUUACACACUAGAUCUCUUACACACACACUGCACCACCUACACACACACUACAUUCCUUGUAAGCAAACACAUACAACAUUCUCUAAACACACCCUCUCUACAACCCCUACACACACUACGUCACCUAUACACACACACUACUGCCCGUAUGUACACACUCGCUACAUCCCCUAUAACACUAUGCCCCUAUACACGCGCUCUCUACAGCCCCUAGCCACACAUAUUUCACCACAAAAUUUACCUAUUUACACAAUACCACACCACACUCUACACACACAGGCAAUCCCACAAGCAUGCGCCAAACACAUGCACCAUACACUUUCCUGGCCCUUUUAUCCUCUGGUAUCCCACUUGUGGAGACACCAGAGACAAUUUAAAAGCAAACACAGCGCAAGCAUGUUAUUACAUUUGCUUGCGCUGCGCAGAACAAAUACAGGGCCUUUUUCUAAUUCUAGAGCUCUUCAGCGGGGCUCUGCGCAUUGAACCAACAUGCUCACUUUCAGAAGGGGCGUACUUGUCAUUAGUGAUGACAAAACACACCCUCUCUGGCCCCGCCCCCUUCUUGGGGGGCUGCUCUAAUUGAAAAAUGCCCAGGCCUAAUUUUUUUCCCAGUCCGGCCCUGACUGUCACUCGAGGUGUUACCAGACAGCAAUGUAAACACUGCCUUUAGUCUGAAACAUCAGUGCUUACAUUGAAAAGCGUGCAGCGUGUUGCUGAAGGCAACAGAAAGUUGCAUUAGGCUUGUCAGUAAAAGCAAAAAAUUCAAGAAACCAAAUUCAGAGUGCCAGAGGGCUUCCUCUCGGCAGUCAGAGCCCUAUACAACAAGCCAGCAGCCCAAGUCCUGAACGCGGGGUUUGUGUCAGAUCACUUCCUCAUAACUAAUGGAUCCCGCCAAGGAUGCCCGCUAUCCCCACUACUCUACGUACUAGCCCUAGAACCGCUAGCAGCUGCCAUAAGGCAACACACCUCAAUACAUGGGGUGAAAAUAGGAGACAGGGAAUAUAAAACAAACCUAUUUGCAGACGACAUAAUGCUCACCCUGACACAGCCACAGAUAUCCCUCCCUAACCUGGUGGAGACCAUUAUAGAAAAUACGGAUGACAUUCGUAUUAUAAACUAACAUCAGCAAGACCCAGGCUAUGGGGAUAGGGAUUCAAGCAGAAGCCCUCAAUAGACUUAAAUCAGCCUUCACAUUUGAUUGGAGACCAGAUCACAUCAUGUUCCUAGGCAUUAAGAUCCCGGCCCAGUUAAAUAAGCUUUUGGACAGACACGACACUAAACUCCACAAGGAAUAAGCGGCAACACUGGACAGCUGGGAAGGCAAAUAUUUAUCAUGGGUAGGGAGACUGGCAGCAAUAAAGAUGAUGCUGCUCCCGAAAUUCCAGUAUCUACGCACACUACCCAUAAAAUUACCAAAAACCUACCUGACAGCACUACAGAGUCUCUUCGUACGCUUUAUUUGGACAAAGAAGAAAUCAAGGGUAGCAUCCUCCGUUCUACAGCAGCCAGUUACAGUGUGUGUGGGGGGUUGGGACUACCAAAUACCCUCACAUACUAUAGAGCAGAACAGCUAUCAGCAGUUAAGGUAUCCACAGCAGAAGGGGAAACCCCACAAUGGACCAAAAUAGAAACUCACUGGGUGGGAGGACACGGCCUAUACAACCUGUUCUGGCUGCCAAAUCACCUACGCCCUACGCACAUAGACCCCCUCCCAACUACAUCUCUAACCCUGACAAUCUGGGAUGGGGAGGGAGAUCUGAAAAGUAUAGCAGGGAAUGCCCCGAUAUCCACAGUAGCGGUGGGGAUCCCAACCUUUGACCACACACAAUGGAGAGACAGAGGGUGCACCACACUCAAACACCUAUGUAAAGAAGGAAAGAUAAUGCCCUUCCCAGAGCUCCAAGAGCUAUAUAACCUCCCCAAUAGAGCCAUAUUCCCAUACCGACAAUUGAAUUCACUGCUCAAAGGAGUAAAGGUACAAAACCCAGCGCAGCAGCAAGGGUGUGGGGUGGGCAAAUAUGCCUGUCAACCAAACACACACUAUCCACACUCUACAGUGAGCUCCAACAUGAAAUGGCAGAAGCCACAAUGCCAUUUCAAAAGGCAUGGCAUAGGAAACUGGGAUACACCCUGUCACCAGAAAAAUGAAAGAGGGCCUUCGGAAUCCAUAGGGGUAACUCACUGUGCACCUAGAGACAAUAAGAAAACUACAAUAUAGGUGGUAUAUGGUAUCAGAGAGGAUCUCAGUGAUUUAUCCAGGCUCCCCUAACGUAUGCUGGAGAUGUGGGGCACAGGGAGGUACGAUGGGACAUAUAUGGUGGUCAUGUACUAAACUAACACCUUUCUGGGCAAUGCUGGAAAAAGAAGCAGGGAAGUUGAUAGGUAGGCGGUGGCCACUCAGCCUAGAACAAUGCGUACUCUUUAUGAUUCCCACAACAACAGACAAGGUAGAGGAAAGACUGAUUUUUCACCUACUAAUAUCUGCAGUGACACUAAUGGCCAGAGCCUGGAAAUCCACAGAAAUACACUAAACAAGCAGGGAACAGAUGGAUGGAAUAUACAGAACAGGCAGAUGCGAACUAGCAUACAAAAGCACUGUAUAUGACCACAUUUAGAAUAGAGCCCAGAGGGGAAAGCCAGUAAAAGACCAAGAUGUGCUAGUUAAGCUGCCAUAGCACUGAAACAGAAAUGAUCAUAUAACCGAUAGACAGUUAAACCUGAGAGACAGACAUGAGUUGUAGACUGCAAGCUAAGUAGCCAGAUCAAACAACCACUAACUAAAGAUCUAGGAACAAGCGGAGGGUAGAAUGCAAAUAAAGUGUUGAUUGUUGACUGCUUCAAGGAAAACAAUAAUGGUCAUUGUGAAAUCCCUGUGUUGUAACCUAAUGUUCCUGCAAUACUCCUUUUUCUUUUUUGUACCCUGGUGAGCAUGCGCCGCACAUUGAACAUGACAAACAAUAAAAUAUUUGUCAAAUUGAAAAAACAAAAAUUCAAGAAACCACUGUGGUACUCCGCAGAGUGAGGAGGAUAGACAGAUCUAUAAGAUUAGACAGAAAGAGGCUAAGCAAGUUAUAAGAGCUUCCAAAUCACACACAGAAGAGAAAAUAGCACAGUCAGUAAAAAAGGGGACAAAACAUUUUUUAGAUACAUAAAAUGAGAAAAGGAAAGUAAAACAAGGAUUAGUUAGAUUAAAAACAAAAGAAGGAAGGUAUGUAGAAGAGAAUAAAGGUCUAGCUGAUUGCCUCAAUUAAUAUUUUUGUUCAGUAUUUACAGAUGAAAAAGGAGAGGGGCCUCAGUUAGGAAAAAGGACAAAUGAGUCAUUUAUUACAUGUGAGUUUACAGAGGAAGAGGUUCUAUUUCAACUGUCAAACGUAAAGACAAAUAAGUCAACGGGACCUGAUGGAAUACACCCAAAGUUAUUAAACGAGCUUAGUGGUGUACUAGCAAAACCAUUAACAGAUUUAUUUAACCAAUCAUUGUUAACAGGAGUAGUCCCAGAAGAGUGGAAGUUAGUGAAUGUUGUGCCCAUUUACAAGAAAGGUAAUAGGGAGGAGUCGGGCAACUAUAGGCCAGGAAGCCUUACUUCAGUAGUGGGGAAAAUGAUGGAAACCAUGUUAAAGGAUAGGAUUGAUGAUCAUCUAAAAACACAUGGAUUUCAAGAUCAGAGACAACAUGGGUUUACUUCAGGGAGAUCAUGCCAAACUAAUCUUAUUGAUUUUUUUGAUUGGGUAACUAAAAUUAUAGAUCAGGGUGGUGCAGUAUACAUUGCUUACCUAGAUUUCAGUAAGGCUUUUGACACUGUUGCACAUAGAAGGCUUAUCAAUAAACUGCCAUCUUUAAGUUUGGAUUCCAAUAUUGUUGAAUGGGUAAGGCAGUGGCUGAGUGACAGGCAACAGAGGGUUGUAGUCAAUGGAGUAUAUUCGAAGCUUGGGCUUGUCACCAGUGUGGUACCUCAGGAAACUGUACUUGGACCCAUUCUCUUUAAUAUUUUUAUUAGUGAUAUUGCAGAAGGACUUAAUGGUGAGGUAUGUCUUUUUGCUGAUGAUACUAAGAUAUGUAACAGGGGUGAUGUUCCAGGAGGGAUAAGCCAAAUGGCAAAUGAUUUAGGUAAACUAGAAAAAUGGUCAGAGUUGUGGCAACUGACAUUUAAUGUGGAUAAGUGCAAGAAAAUGCAUCUUGGACAUAAAAAUCCAAGGCCAGAGUACAGAAUAUUUGAUAGAGGCCUAACCUCAACAUCUGAGGAAAGGGAUUUAGGGGUGAUUAUUUCUGAUGACUUAAAGGUAGGCAGGAAAUGUAAUAGAGCAGCAGAAAAUGCUAGCAGAAUGCUUGGUUGUAUAGGGAGAGGUAUUAGCAAUAGAAAGAGGGAAGUGUUCAUGCCAUUGUACAGAACACUGGUGAGACCUCACUUGGAGUAUUGUACGCAGUACUGGAGACCGUAUCUCCAGAAGGAUAUUGAUACUCUAGAGAGAGUUCAGAGAAGGGCUACUAAACUGGUUCAUGGAUUGCAGGAUAAAACUUACCAGGAAAGGUUAAAGGAACUUAACAUGUAUAGCUUGGAGGAAAGACGAGACAGGGGGGAUAUGAUAGAAACAUUUAAAUACAUAAAGGGAAUCAACACAGUAAAGGAGGAGACCAUAUUUAAAAGAAGAAAAACUACCACAACAAGAGGACAGUCUUAAAUUCGAGGGGCAAAGGUUUAAAAAUAAUAUCCGGAAGUAUUACUUUACUGAGAGGGUAGUGGAUGCAUGGAAUAACCUUUCAGCUGAAGUGGUAGAAGUUAACACAGUAAAUGAGUUUAACCCCUUAAAGACACAACUUCUGGAAUAAAAGGGAAUCAUGACGGAAGAUUUCCGUCAUGUGUCCUUAAGGGGUUAAGCAUGUGUGGAAUAUGCAUAAGGCUAUCCUAACUAUAAGAUAAGACCAGGGACUAAUGAAAGUAUUUUUAAAAAUUGGGCAGACUAGAUGGGGCGAAUGGUUCUUAUCUGCCAUCACAUUCUAUGUUUCUAUAUAGACUCCAGAACAACUACAUUAAGCUUUAGUGGUUCUGGUGACUAUAGUGAUUUUUAUUUUUGAUGUUGAAAAAUCUGACUCCUAACUUUUUUAGCUGGCUCAUAGAUUUCAAGAAAAUUUGUCAAGCCCUGCGCAUGAGUACUGAGUCUGACAGAGGUGCAGGGCCUAACUGAAAUGCUGGGGAGAGACAGAUCCUCUCCGUGACCUGAUUCAUGAGACAUGCAAGAAAGAAAAAUGUAAUGAGUAACAAUACCUAAUAAUAACCGGAAUGAGAAACCACACAACAUAUCCAGAACUGGCUUGCUAACUAGUGCUGAAAGGCAAAAACAUUAACUACUCUGUGGCAGAUGAGGCCCUGCUAAUUGCCCAGCGGCAGUGAGAGGCUCUAUCUAUGAUUUGACUCAAGGGACACGUGGCCACUAUGUGAUCUGGUAGGGUGAUGGCCUCUCGGUGACACUAAAAUAUUUUAAACGUGUGGCUUUGACAAGUAAGGCCCUGACUGACCAUAUAGAAAGGUAUGCGAGGCUAUAACUUUGACGUGGACUGAUUGGACGCUAAAACCUCCAUGUUGAGGUGGGGAGUUGGCCUCACCUGUCCUUAACCCCUUAAGGACACAUGACAUGUGUGACAUGUCAUGAUUCCCUUUUAUUCCAGAAGUUUGUUCCUUAAGGGGUUAAGUUAAACUAAGUAAGGGCCAGUGCCUAAACCUAACAGCCAGUUCUCUGUCUCUAGACGGGGGCUUGACUCAUAACAUCGGUGAGCGUAAUGGGUAACGCAAGUACUUGGUAGACAAGAUAGUCUCUAAGAGAGAACCUGUAAAAGUAGACACCUAUAAAAGUAAAUCAUCCAAUUAACCAUGGAAUGUGAAUAGUUAAGAAGAGGAAGUGAAAAGAAGGAUGUAACUCCACAUACCUUUAUGUAAUAGAUGGUGAGCAUAUAUUUAUCGUAAGGGAAGAGCCAGACUGUGACCUAUGAGUAAUAUAUUAUACAUGUACUAUGUAAAGUUAAAUAUCUAUAACCAGAAGUACAAAUUAAGAGAACUGAGUAUACCUGUGAAGAUUACGGACAACAAGUCACAGUAUACAAUGCCUGAGUGUGAAGAACCUCUAAACAGAAGUAACAGAUAACAUGAGAGAAGUCAAUACCCCCUAGCCAGAAAUACAUAAAAAAAGAGUGUAAAUGUAUAUGAAUCAUACUAGAUGAAACGUUGUCCUGAAAUUGUUGUCCUGUUAUUGACCCUGAAGAAAGUCCUGAGCGGGGACUGAAACGUUGGUCGGUUUUUAAACUUUAUCUAAUAAAUAUUUGCAUUUUAAAAGACCAGUGAGCAGCCAUUCUAUAUCGGAUGUUUUAUAUAUAUAUAUAUGUAUAUAUAUAUAUAUAUAUAUAUAUGUAUAUGUGUGUGUGUGUGUGUGUGUGUGUGUAAACCUACAUGUGUAAUUUAAAUAUAUAUAUAUUUAGAAGAAUGUGGUGUAAAGCUCUAUCUGCACAACGCUCUUCAACUAGUGCCAAGGCUUGAGGCUCUUUUACAACACUAUCAUAAAGAAGAUCUGUAAGGUAGCUUCUACAUUGUAUUGAGGGGAGUGGGCGCCUCAACAGACCCAGAGACAUGUACAGCUCGAACUUUCUUAUAAGCUCUAGUAUAUGUGAGUGCUCAAUUGGCUUGAUGUAUUUGUAAUACAUUUUAAAAUGUGUUACAUUAUGUUUUGUUCAUUUAAAUUUAAAGGCACUGUGUGUUUUUGAAAGCAAGAUACAAUUUUCAGAUAAGUGUGAAUACACAUCACAAAAUCACAAAUUUUAUCAGUACGAGCACAUCCACUAUGGUGCAUUUUAGUUAUUUGUGUGUUUUGUGGGAUUUUUUCUUUUGGUAUUACACACAAAGUGUUUAAGCUGCUUGUCUAAAUAGGCCUCUUUUUUGCAAAUAUCAUAUUUAUAUAUUGGUUUUGUAGCACUUUUCACAAUCACUUAACAUUUUUAAGAGAUACAGAACUGAACAGAAAUAGUUUCACAUUGUGAGAGUGUGAUAGUAUGGAUCUGUGUGUGAUAAUAGUACAGUGUGGCAUAGUGCUUGGUAAGGCUGGGGCUUAGGGAGGAAUUAGAGUCAACAUAUGUGGAAGGGGCCAUACAUUUUACCUUUAGGCUGAAGCCCCUGGUCUCGAUACCACCCAGAAAAAGUCCUGGCUUGUCUGUAUUUUUAUACUGUAAUCUUUUAAAAAUCAGAGUUAAAUCAUUCUUUACAGUUGCAUAUUAAUAUUUUACAACACUCCCCCAAAUUGUCACUCACUGUAGUACUGAAUAGGACUGCAGCAGGCUCUACGUGAUCUUCUAAAAUAGUGAAUGAUCCUAAUACACUGAACUUAAAUCAACCCUACCAAAUAAAGAGAAUAGACAAAUAGGCAAAGAGUAAGCUGUAACAAGUCAAGGUCAAUGGCAAAUCGAUGCACGAAAACUGAGGUCAACAAAUAUAGACAACAGAAUAAUGAAGAACUUGCUGUGUCAGGUAGCAAUAGAUCAAUAAACACAUGAGGCACACUUGGAUAGGAGUAUGGAAACCACAAAAGGCCAAUGUUCUGUCUGUGGUAUGGGCUAUGAGACACUCAAGAUGGUAAGAGGUGUUAUUUGGCGCACACACAGGUUAAGGGGUUCAAGAGAUACACUAGGGGGGCAAGAGGGGUUAGGAGAUAUACAAAAGGGAUUGAGUCAGGUGCAAAAAACAUAAAAGGGCUGAAGCAACAGUCAAAACAAAAUGUACAAAUGGCAGGGCAAUAGAUAAUUAUUUUCUGGGUGCAAAAUAAUCUAGAUAUUACUUUGGUACCCUUCCAAUCUUAGUUCCCUGCCAGCUAUUCUUACAAAAUCAGUCCUUUACACCUCAUGAUUGGUAUAGAGAAAACAUACAAAGAAGAGGAAAAAUAAAGAAAUGCAUCUAUUUUUGCUCAUUUGCAUAUAGUGCCUUAACUGUGCCAGGUCUAAAAUGUAUUGUGAUUUAACUUGCCACUUGCCAUAUGAAUUUAAAUAAAAACAUAACAUCACAUGAAAAAAAAAGAAGAUUAACACAUGGUAUAGGUGAGUUUAAAUGUCUUAAUUAUUGGCUUUGAAUGGCUUCCAUUUGAUCUUAUGCAAAACAGUAACUUUGUGUAUUUAAAAUCUUUUCAGAUUACUAAUUUGUUCAAGUCACUUAUUUACCAGAUAUUUACAGUGUGUCUCAGCUUUAUCCAAAUUAAACAAAUCAACAGUGUUUAGGAAGAUUCAAUGAUUUUUCAAAUACUAGACUUGGGCUAAAUUUGUUAUAUAUAUUCAUUGUAAUGCAACAUUACUGCCAUCUACUGGAGAAUCAGAGAAUAACUAAUACUGAGAACAUAGGUACAAUACUGUUUUACAUAGGCAACAUCUACAAAGCUGAUUCAUUUUAAGCAUUUAUAUGAUGCUUGUCUUUUGUGCAUGUCUGGUUAACUUUCAUCUACACAACCAUAGUCCAUUUAUGGUGUUUAUUUCAUCACACUUUUUCCAUUGUUUAAUUGGCAAAAAAAAUGCACAUUGUAAAAAAAUCUGUUGAACUAUAUGUAUUUUCUCUCCUUUCAUAUUUAACUAUUCUUCUUGUCACGUAACAUUACUAUAUAUGUGAUAUAAAAGAUAUACAUGCCAUGCCCUUGCAUUUUUCCCCAAAUAAUUAUAAAUUAUCUUUUUUUGGGGGGGAGGGGGGAGGGGGCAAACACUGACUGGAAUCGCCUUCAAGAAAUCACAUCCAAGGUUAUAACCUAAUUCAUGAAUAGUCAUAAACUAAAUUACUAGUUGUACGUUGUAGGCCAAAAUAUCAGGAACCAUGGCUGAGUUGAGAAAUGUUUCCAGUUCAACAAAAAUUAGCAAUUUCAGACAUUUCACAGUAUAUUAAAUAAUCUUGGUCGCCAUUGAGACGUGUUUUUUUAAUUAUGAAAAAUAAGUGUAAAUUAUUCUUACCUGAAUAUUAAAGAAAGAAACAAACAAACGGAAUUUGUAAUAUUGCUGGUAUCAAUUCAACAUAAUUAACUUUCUGCAUGCCACAGUCAUGCUCUACCCAUUUUUCCACUGUCUCUAAAAAAAGCCUUGAAUUUGCAUAUAUCCCAUCUAUAUUGUCAUUUAAAUGGAUCUUCUUAAACUCUCCCGUUUCUAAUAACCCUGUUUAAUUCUAAUCAUGCAUCCCUUCGUAGAUGCGUGAAUGCUCGUUUUCAUGGUGGGUUUAAUUAAUAUGUACAUUUUCAAGAACAAUGGGAUGAUAAUGUAUUUCAAGAUAUUCAAUCAGUCUUUUCCAACAACAAUUUGGAAUUAUGCUAAAAUAAAUCCCUAAUAACUUUAUUUAAAUGGCAAACAAAACUCAACAUUUUUAUUUUUGUUUGUUUUGCGCUCAUCUGUUAGUCAAUCUUGUUAUUUACUAACUUUGCAAAUGCGAAACAGCUUAGUAAAUGUAAUUUCAUAGAUUACAUAGUGGGUUUCUAUUUUCAAAGAUUGUACUGCAUAUUUUUUAUAUUUUGAAGCAUUUCAAAAAUUAUGUUGCAUGCAAAAUUAAUUUUAUCUUCUGCCUCAGUACUGCCAAUGAUUGUGUUACAUUUUAAUAUACUUUUAUAAUACAUUUAUUUAACUGAUUCCUAUAACAAUACAUCUGGAUUAUUUUAUCCUAGGCUUCCAGGCAUUUCUUGUUAGGUUUGGGUUGUGCUUCAUAUCUCCAAAUAUUAUUUGGAGACAUUUACGUUGUGGCAUAGAAUCUUCUUUAUUACAAUGUAUUUGAUAAUUACUAGUAAGUGUGCAUUGGAAGGGCACCUAACAUGCAAAUAUGACAUUGUGACACCUUAAAUGGACAUUAUAGUCACCAAAACAACUUUAACUUGAUGAAGCAGUUUUUAUGUAUAUAUCAUACCUCUGAAGUCUUGCUGCUCAAUUCUCUCCCAUUUAGGAGUUAAAUCACUUUUGCUUCUGCUUAUGCAGCCUUAGCCACAUCUCCCCUGGCUGUGACUGACAGCCAGCAUGAAAAAAAAAUGAUUUCACUUUCAGUUAGAUAUUAACUUACUUUAAAAGUUUUUAUCUCUGUAAAUCAAACUUUAAUUACAUACAGGAGGCUUUUGCAGGAUCUAUCAAGCUAAUAGCAGAGCAGGAGAUAAGAAUUUCUACAUUAAACAGAAUUUGCAAUAAAGGAAGUGUAAACAUUACAUGACUCUUUACAGGAAGUGUUUAGGAAGACUGUGCAAGUCACAUGCAGGGGGCUGCAUAAACAAAGUGAUUUAACUCCUAUAUGGCAUUGAGCUGUGAGACUGCAGUGGCAUGAUCUAUACACCACAACUGUUUCAUUAAGCUAAAGUUGUUUUGAUGACUGUAGUGCCCCUUUAAAUAAUAAAACUUAAAGGUUGACUUACAAGAGUCUUGUCUGUUUAAAAUUGCAUUGUAGCAAAGUUGCACCACAAAAGCUAUUCACUAAUUGGCGUAAAAUUGCUGUAGCAUCAAUUAGUAAAUGGUUCCAAUAAAAAUGCAAGCGAGCCAGAGGAAACAUUAGAAACUGCAUCCUCACUUACUAUUCACUAAAUGGUGCUCUGGUUUCAUGAGCUGAAUAGAAGACCUUUUAUUUGCGUAGAUAUUAUUGCCUAACUCGAAAUUCUUCUCUUCCUGCGGGCCUUCUUUGGCUCCUGGAGCUUGAUCUGCCAGCCAUGUCAGUGUUGUAUUCUUGAGCAUGUGCAAUAGCACAACACUAAGACCGCGGGAGCCUCGGUAGAUCUCUUGUGACAUCUGCUGGGGUUGGAUAAAAUUCGACAACGGACAGAUCUUUGCUUUUUGUCAAUCUCAGGCUUUAUCAUAAGACAAAGUAGUCCCAAUUUUGUCUUUUCCUGUCUUUGGAUUGCUUUGGAAUUUCAAUUAAGUUUCAAUGCAGCUUGCAUGAGUAUUUCAUUAAGAUUUUAUUUUAAUAAAAUACUUAGUACUUAUCGUAAAGCCGCUAUGUGACUUCUAUUUUAUAAAUCAAUAUAUUUAGUGGCUGGAGAGUUAUCUAUGACACCUACAAGUUAUCUAUCAUACAGUAUUAUGCAAAAAUUGCAAGACGUCCAACAUUAAAGGACCACUCUAGGCACCCAGACCACUUCAGCUUAAUGAAGUGGUCUGGUGCCAGGUCCCUCUAGGAUUAACCCUUUUUUUUUAUAAACAUAGCAGUUUCAGAGAAACUGCUAUGUUUAUAAAUGGGUUAAUCCAGCCUCUAAAGCCUCUAGUGGCUGUCACAUUGACAGCCGCUAGAGGCGUUUGCGUGCUUAUGAAUGCUUUCCUAUGAGACUGGCUGAAUGUGAGCGCAGCUCCUGCCGCGCAUGCGCAUUCAGCUGAAGAGGAGGAUCGGAGGCGGAGAGGAGGAGGAGAGCUCCCCUCCCCUUUCCUUGCCAUCCAGCCCGGCGGGAGUGGGACGCUGAGGGUAGGGGCACCCUCAGGGCACUAUAGUGCCAGGAAAACGAGUAUGUUUUCCUGGCACUAUAGUGGUCCUUUAAGGGCUAAACAUUCGACAUAGUGAAGCAAAUAUGUCAAAACCACUGACAGAUCAGUUCUAAUUGAAAUGAAUGUGAAAGCAAUGUGCAAUGUGUAUGACACUCAGAGCAACAGCAGACUGCAUAAUCUUUAGACCAAAAUAUAUAUAUAUAUAUAUAUAUAUAUAUAUAUAUAUGUAACGUGUGCGCAACAUGUAGCUCUGGCAAGGACAAGACUCCCUGUGUCGUUAGCCACACUGAAGUGCUGCACCAAUCUGGCACAGCUAAAUCCUCCACUACCCCAGUGAUCAGAGUCUAUUAAUGCACAGUGUCCGCACGCAAUACAAACAAUAUAAACAGACAUAGAGUAGAGGGAGAUUUGGGUGCUUUGAAAAUGUUUUUUGUGAAUCUGUUUGACCAAAACUGGGGGCUACAGCCAUGGACUCCUUAUGCUAUAAGACCUACAGGGCAUUGCAAUGGUUUUUAUAUCAAAUAUGAAACAGUCUAAAAUGUCCUUAAUUUCUUUAUUAAUAAAUGCAAUAUUCAGUUUUUAUCUCUAUUUUCUUUUCUGCAUGUUGAAUUUUCUCCUUAGUGUGUCCUGCUUUGAAGCUAUUGUUUAACAUGGGAAUAAAAUAUUGCACUGUUAGUUUGCUGUGCAACAUGGCUGACAGCUGAGAUGAGCCAACAGUUAACAGAAUGAAUUAGGGGGGGGGAGUAGAAAGAAAUAUUCUAACCUCAGAAUGAAGCCAGAUUCAACAGCAAGAAAAAAAACACCCAAAGUUUAGUCAUGCCAUACAACUGUCCUGAUUUUCAGCUGAACCUUCCCGAUUGUGGGAUCCAGGGCUUCCUGAUCUAGUUCCCUGGUACCUCACAUCUGAUAAAGUGAUAAAGUCCUUGAUUAAAUAUUUUUGGAUAAUCUUUUAAAUUAUUGAAUAUGUUAAUAUGUAAUUUUUUUUUUUUUUUUUACUAUUGCAACCUAACCCUAACCUGCCCCAAAAUACUUUAACUUGUUUUGUUGCAUCUUUAUAAACUGCAUUUUCAUGGCAUUGUGUUAAUUCCCACACGGUGACAUUAGAGUAUCGCUGUAAUGAACCAUGACAUUUUUUUAAUUUUUCCUGUCAAUAUUUUAAAAAAAGGAAUUAGGAGCAACAUUUAAUGAGGUAAUUGUGCUUUGUGUUCACUGAAUAUGUGUACUUUAAGCAGUACGGUGUCAGACAUGUUGUCAGGAGACCCUAAUAGAACUGAUCAUGUUGAUAGUUGAGCACGCUAAGCUGACGCUCAUUUUGGCAUGCAUACCUUUGCAAUAAAACUGAUAUUUUUUUAUUUUUUUUAAUUCCUAUGAGUGAGAGAAACUUUUUUUUUCUGUGUCUGUCAAUAUUACAAUAUACGCAGGUCCAUGCAUGUCAGGUCUUUUAUACGUUGAAUAUGCAAAUAUGUUUUAUUAUCUUGAGUUUUUCUUUCAUUAAUUUCUUUUUAAACGAAAAGGGCUCUUAUUCUGAACCCGCUGAGCGUUCCCUCCGUAACAUCAAGAGUUUCUUGUUCCGUAAUCCUCUCACUCCUUGAGCAUAAUCCUUCGCUAGAUUCUAAUGUUUUCUGGCUGUAUAGGAUGUUAUUACUACAUGGUGGGUGAAAAGUGAGUUUGUUGCAAGUGGGUGGUGUUAAUCCUUUGGUAAUGAACACCUUUCUUCAAUCAGGCCAUGUUUUCAUCUUUUUUUGUGAUUUGAUGAAUUUAGUGGUUUUGUUUGCAUGCAUUGUUAUAGAUUUCUCAAUGACUGGGUUUGCUCUGUCUCAAUUUUCUAUGUCUCUUUUAUAGCUUUUACGCUUUUCUCUGCAUUGCUUUGAAACUAGGAUAUAAACGGCAAAGUGAUUUUAAGCUUUCUGACAGAGUUGAUCCAUAUACUUUUCUGUAAUUUACACCGUUUUCCAUUUUAUUCAUGAAUCUAGACAUUCAUAUCCCAAGGUGAGCCUGCUAUUGUUCGUGUGGACCCACCCACCUCACUCUUGUACCUUCAAAAUUCGUCUAAUUUAGAUAAAUUCACAUUGUCCUAAUGCAAAUGGCUGGUUGCCAAACUUCACUUUUUUUUUUUUUCUAUUGGUAGAAGUUCUUUCUUAAGAUUCCACAUAUAUUUAGCACUGAAACAGUAUGUGACUUUAGAAUCAAUAGCUAUAAUACAUUUACAUUAAUCUUAGGGGAAUAUUCGCUUAACAGUGAGUUGUGGUGAGAUGGCAACAGCGUCACUGCAAAAGGAAAUUUUGAUGAGUUGACAAAAGAAUUGCAUCAUUUAAACCCGAAAUAAACGUAGAUAAGCUGAAAAUAAGAAGUUCAUGCACAAGUACACAUAUUCACUUGUUAGGAAGUGUGUUGUCAGCUCAUAAAAAUGUACUGUUUAGUGAAUAGAUCUCUACAUUUCUUUAAAGUAAUGUACUUAAGCAUUUUUUACAGGGGAUUUCAGGCCAAUAUUGCGUUCAAUGAAUAUCCAAAAAUUAUUACACUAUGAAUGCAAAAGUAUUUAUAUGUAGAGAGCAGUAAGCAGUAAAAGUUAGUCUAAUAUAUACAUACAUAAUUAAGCCCUGCACGCACACCCCCACUACUCCUGGGCAGCAGCAAUAACCAUAGUGCACACCAACCCUCAAUACAUGAAAUAAAACCAAAUGUAAAAGUGACUUUUUCUGGUAUCACCAUUAAAAUGUAAGCUCACCUGCCACAUCAAGGCAAAACCUCCAAUUAGUCUAGCAUAUGUAAGUAGGUUCCCUGAACCUUUAUUGGAGAGAUGCAUGGUGACUUGUCAUGCGAAGCACCAUAGCCUCUGCUAAGGUCAGAGUACUAUAGUUCUGUGAAUGACAUCACUUCCUUUUUUGGUCAAUAUGUUUUGGAGUGGUUUGACUAAACCAGUGGCAGCCAUAGCUCGGCCCCUAUUUAUCUACACCGAAAUUACACAUAAGUGCAAUUCCAUCCAACCUGGAUGUCCGUGAUUGGCUGAGAGAUCUGCUGGCUGGUAAAGGGGUUAUGAGGGUAGUUAGAGCCUCAGGUGUGAAUUUGUUCUGAAAUGGAAUGAACACAUAACUGGAACUAAUGCCAUGCCACUCGUGGUCACUUCCAGCCAUGGAAAAACAAUGUUACUUCUGGGCAGGAGAGGGCAGGUUUAUGAUUUGCAGUUAAUGGAAUCUCUGUCCUGCCUCUUAUGAAUUCUCAGUUUCUAUGAAAAGUAUGGCGGCAGACAUUACCAUUUUCUUCUCUCCUUAUCUUCCACAGGUGAACUUGCAAUACAUAAAGAAGGUGAGUCAAAUGUUUCUAGGUUGUUGCUAGAGUGAAAAGGAGAGAACAGUAGUUAAUAGAAGGUAGGUGAAGAAAAGAGGAGCAGUGAGUCUGCUAAUUCGUACAGCAUGGCUCCGUUAUCAUCUGCCUACGCAAGGAAACGAGAAACCACAGUCAGUUCCUCCACGUAAUCACCAUAAACCAACAAAUCCCAGAGACUCAGCCUUAGUCCAGUGGUGCUGUCUUUUAUUGGUAAAAACGCAUAAUAAAGAGCAAUGUUGCUCUCUAUGAUGAGUUAGCCUCAAACCAUGCUGUAUUAACUUUUCACGCUAUUGUAUUAAAAUCCUGCUCCCAAUGUACUGUCUAAUUACUCUAUUACAGUAACACUGUAUCAUAUUAUGCAACUCAAUGUGUUAUUUCUCUCUCAGUAUUACAGGGGACCAAAAUGGUGCCACAAUGAGUCCUAGGGCUAAUCAGGACCCCACUCAAAGCUCCACCCUGUCAGCCACCCACGCAACAAACCCUGAUAUUAGUACACUAUUUAGUGCUUCAGUGGAGAGGAAUAUAUCUAACAGAGCGCUCGCUGCUGCAACACUCAAAGGGUCAAUUAGAACUUUGUACACGUAGCAUUGCCGGGCAGUUAAUUAUUACAUGCAUUUUUUUCAGAUUUGCAGAAUGGCAAGCAAUACGUGGUGGUCAGUAUUACUCCGUAUCAGCAGGGGUGAACCAAAUAUCUAUUGGAUGUUCUAACAACAGCUUAUAUCUAUUGGAUGUUCUAACAACAGCUUACGCGUGAUAUUUCCCAGCAGCAAUGAUAAUAAGCCCUGAGGGUUCAGCCCAAUGGAAGGGUUGGCAAACUUUAGCAGGGGGGACAAACUUAUUGCUUUUUGGUGUUCAAAACUCAGAGUUCUAUGCUGAGCCUACCCAUACAGCCCAUGCAAGAUAUUGGUUGGAUAGGAGCCACUAGGUGUGACAUGAUAUAUCCUAGCAACCUCCAUCACUUGGACAUGAGCAGCUUGAUGUCACAUUCACAGAAAUCUGUUGGUUCACAGGAUGUUUCUCACAACUCCAUUGUCACUAAUGUUGCCUGAGAUAUACAAUGACUGUCUUCAGCAAUGUCUUAUCACACCCCACAGACACUUACAAACCUCUCCAGGGACACCAUACAAACUGAUCAAAGUCUGGCAGGCCAGUCAGCCCUAGAUACUACAGCACUCAAUAUCCAGUGGCCCAGUCUGGGUGGGGGAACAUUGCUUAUGGGCAAUUGCCCCCUUACACAUUAACUAGCCCACCUCUGGUGCAGUCCUUCCAAUUUUAUAUUUCCUCAAAGAGUAUCAUCACUUCCAUGUUUUGCACCAUUGGCUUCACAAAUAUUGUAACAGCAGAAGGUCAGUAUGGCUUUAGGACGCACAUUUUGCCUGAUUUUGGCAGCUUCACAAUGUCCUACAUUGCUGCAUAUAUAAAAUGAAGUUGUUGUUGCUCUGCUGUAUGAGCUGAUAUGAAUGACCCGUGGAUUCUUAGGCCACAACCCUUUCUGAGAGAGUCCUUCCCCCAAACUUAAAAAAAAAAUAACAGAUAAAACUUAUCUCCAUUCCAUCAUCUAGUCCAAGUUCUCCCACCAGUACGAUCCUCCUUGGUUGACGUCAUUUUCUUUUGCCAAUUUGACACAGAAUUCACAUUAGCCAGCCCAUUUUUUUUUAUUUUGAUCAGGACUGACUAAUGAUGGUGCCAGAGGAGGAAAGGUUUAAAAAUAAUAUCAGGAAGUAUUACUUUACUGAGAGGGUAGUGGAUGCAUGGAAUAGCCUUCCAGCUGAAGUGGUAGAGGUUAACACAGUGAGAGAGUUUAAGCAUGCGUGGGAUAGGCAUAAGGCUAUCCUAGCUAUAAGAUAAGGCCAGGGACUAAUGAAAGUAUUUAAAAAAAUUGGGCAGACUACAUGGGUCGAAUGGUUCUUAUCUGCCCUCACAUUCUAUGUUUCUAUUACACCUGCAGCAGUUAAGGGGUUAAUCUCUGUAUGUGCAGCAUUUCAAAGCAAAAUGCUGCACAUACAGACUCCAGGCACCAUGACCACUUCAAACCAUUGAAGUGGUCAUAGUGCUUACAGUAAACCUUCAAGUAUUUUUAGCCAAGAGGAUUACAGGUUUUUCUGCCAAAAAAGCAUUUAGGCCAUUUAUUAUUUCGCGUUCAAUUACGUAUAAAUAAAAUGUCACAUAUCGGGCUUGUGCUGUUUGCCAUUUGAUAGGGUAAAGUCAUUUUCUGUUAACCUGUUUUCUAUAUAAAUGUAUUACAUUCUCUUACAUACUCCCUCUAACCAUCUUUUCCAUGCCUUUGCAGAAAGAGUAGCCGAAUAUUAUAUAUCUCAGUGUCCAGUCUGUAAUAUGUGUUCUAAUAUAUAGCUGGGAAGAGAUAGCACUCACAACAUUGUGAAUUCUAAACAUUUUUACAAAAUAACCAAAAGAUAAUAUGAAGGCAUUUCUAGCAGACCUCUCAUGACUUUGAUUUUGUGAUAAGAUUAUUUAUAAAUUGAACUACUGCAUGCUGUGAUUGAAGUUCUUCAUAAUUAUCUUAAUGUAUCCCUUUUUAACCGUGAUUUUGUAUAAAUAGUCUAAAUUCUGUCUCUUUUUCUGCGAAUGCAGCGAAGCUUUCUUUAUUUGCAUUGCAAAGCAAUCAGCAAAUAUAUAAUCAUACAAAUAUUUUACCCAUGGAGCAUUCAAGCUUAUUUGUAUCAAGUUAAAAUGUUUGGAAUUAUUUUUGUUCCCAAAUAUGAGAGAUUAUCAACUAACUAUAGUAUUGCAAACAUAAAAAGUACUUAGAUUUCCUUGUACUGGAGACUAUGUGCUAACAGCUGUAAUAGCAGUUCCUCAUAGCCUGACAAGUUACAAUUAUCUUGUAAUUAAAGAUUCAGUUCAUCUCCCUUAUUAAGCUCAAUGAAAUGGUCUUACAUAUUAACCAUAAACAGCAUUUUACUGUCAAUGCUGCAAAAUGUUUCCUUAGAAACUAUUUGCUGGUAAAGAUUAUUUGUUUUUUUUUUCUUCUGUAUUGAAUAUCUUUAACCCUCUAUGUGCAGUUUUUGUAAGUAAUACUCACUCUGAUAUGUUAAAUAGUUUAUCACAUCAAGCAAUAAUAGCAAGGAGAAGGUCUCCAAUGUGCCUGGAGAUUGUAUUAUUUACAGUCCAAAAAUUGUUACAAAAUUUCUGCUAUAAAAGAACCAUAAAAAAUACAGUUUGAAGCUCAACGUGAUGGGGUCAGGUGUCAUUAUUAUUAUUAUUAUUGGUAUUUAUAUAGCGCCAACUAAUUCCGCAGGGCUUUACAAUAUUAGGAAAGGGGAGGGGGGAUUUACAAUACAUGAGACAGUUACACAGGAACAAUCGGUGUUGAUAUUUUGAACCGGAUGCAAGAUGUCAUGGGUGAUACGUCACCAGGUUAAGUCAUUAGACAUUUUCUACCUUUGUGAAUUUGAUAAUGGCCAACACUCCCAGAAUAUGGCAGGACCAAACUAGACACUGCUAGACACUGGAGCAGUGGGAUUGGAAAGUUGGCAGCCGAGUUUAUAAGAACCAGAUGCAGAAUGCACAGUGGCAUGCACUAAAUAGAUCCUGACUGGAAGUUCAUACAAAGUGAGAUUUAACUAUAUCAAUGACUGCAAAUCCUGCAAGAAUAAUAAUGAAGCUGGCAACUUCACUUGACAAAGGCAUCUUGUUUGCUAAGACCCUGCCAGUUUCACCUCAUUACAUUCUGUAUUGAAUACCAUUCACUGAGGAAACAUUUUUUUUUUAGCCUUUGAAUCCAAUCUUCUUCUUCAGAAAUCAAAUCAUGUAUUUGAAAGUUGCCAAAUCCAAUUUCUAUUCUUCCUAAUUUAAGUCUCUUAUUAAGUACUCACCCUCGUGCUUCUAUAAACUUCCAUGUGUAUAUACUUUAUACCCACUAUGUGUUCUACUUUCCUUUGCUCUGCAAUACCAUCUCUCUCGCCCAACUAAUGUUUCUCUGAUUAUCAGAUCCCCCUCUCUAUCUAAUUUAAUCUUGCCCUCCCUUCACUCUCUGUUCUUCUCUCUCUACUUCAGUUCCCUUCCAGUUCUUUCUCGGUCUACCACUUGCAUACCAGCUCUUACCUUAAAUGUCCUCUCCCGUCCUCUCCCGUCUAUUCACUCUCUACUCCAAUAUAUGUUAUUUUACAGAUUUUCCCCCAUCAUAUCUCUCCUUAUUAGUGAAGCUCUUACUCUCAUAUUGCAGUAAGUGUUUACAUGUGGGUUAGGUCAAUGCACAGCUAGCACUCUAAUUUGCCAUAUAUGUUAUGGACUCCAGGAUUGAUGGCUACCAUGAUGGCUACCAUGUAAGCACACAAUGAGUGCCCCUUGGGAGGCUUCCUGUUACUAGCAGUGGCCAUAUGUUCACUUUUACUGUCCUUUUCUACUUAUACUAAUGUAACCUGCAAAACAAGAUACUAAAGAGUGCUAGUGUCAAGCCUCCAUACAUUUUGUGCCAUUAAAGGGGAACUCCAGACUUCUAAAGCAAUUUGGCCGGCUGAAAAGCUUUAUGUGUGAAGUGUGUCCUAUUUUAUUCAAUUUACAAAAAGUUUUAAACAUUAACUUUGUUACACCCUUUUGCCUGUCAAUUAGACAAUAUGUCCUGUUAUUUCCUGGUUGUUUAUCUCAGUGGAGCUAAACUCAAGAGGCAACAAUUGCUCAGAGCACCUGACUUGCAAAGACUUCUCAUUGAGUUGCAUUGGGAAGUCUGUGAUUGGACAGCCACAGAAAGUCUGGGUUAGAAGGGGAGGGAUUGCAAAGGCUGCAGACAAAAGAUCUACAGGUUUUGCAAGCUGUUUUUAGAUAUCCACCCAAAUAAAAAUGCAUAUUUAAAUACAUGUAUGUUUUCAUUGAGGGUAUAUCUACUAAACAUACAUUUUUAUUUUAUUUUUUGUAAAAUGAAACGUAGCAAAGACCCGUGACUCAGACAUUAUAGAAAUCUAUGAUGUGUUCCUAACAGUUUUUGAGAUGUACCAUUAGAGAGUUCAUCCAGUGAACAGGGCCGGAUAAACAUAAUGGCUAUUGGAGCUGAAGCUACAGGCACAUGCCCAUGAAAUAGAAACUUUAAUUUAAAAUAAAAAAAUUACUUAUUUUCACAUGCUCUUGCUCUGUGCAGUGAUAAUUAAGCAUGGGAACUUAGGAGGGAUGCAGAGUAACAAAACUUGUGUGGACUUGCUGACUAUAAAUUAGUCAAGGUAGAGAUGACUUUGCCCACUGGGCAAAUGCUCUUGCUGCUUUGAUCUUUCUAACACUGUGGCAUGUCCCCUUAAUUCUACACUAACUACAUCCACCUUUUUCUUUGUCCCAGGCUGCAUACCAGUUGCUUCUACCUGCUAGUAAGAAGGGAAGGAGAGGAGUGGACAAGUGAGUUCUGGGGGACCCCAGGGAACUGUCCCCAGAAAGUGUAGAGCAAGCGCAUCAUUAGACGUGUUCAACUCAAGCUCAGGGUGCUGAAACAGUCCUGUCUGCCUAGUCUGCCCUUAGUUGUCUGGCAUCCAUGAUUGGCAGACAGCCAGGCACGCAUUCAUGCUAGACUGACCUUCCAAUUCUUCAGACAGAUCUGCCCUCUUUGCAGGCAGGUCCGUCCCUUUGGGCAUUGCCAAUGAGGUGAUGCACAUCAUGGCCCACUGCCUUUUACCCCGUCCACCAGCAUCUCGCUUCACAGAAUGCUGAUGUUGGGAGGUAUAGAUUUGGUUGAGAGAUGAAAGCAAGAGAGUGUAUUCUUAUAAAUGCAUCCUGUGAGUUUCCUUCCGACACCACCUCCACCAGGUACAUGACACUUGGGAGGUAUGACUGUUUUAGUGUUUUCUGUAAUACGACCCAUCAUACUCGUCAGCAACAUGCCCAAUGGGCUCUUAAUCUGUCCCUGCCAGUGCGUAUACUAUGGGGAUCCAUUUUGGUCAAGGAAUAGACCUCUUAUUUAUUAGUAAACUAUCAGAGAAAUGUGAGAUUUUUCACAAAUGUGGAUGUUGCUCCAUGGGGGCAUAUAUUUAUUAUAUUGUGCAAAUUCCUCUGCUGUCAUAACGUCUCUUGGAAACAAAUUCACUCAACAGCUUGGAUAAGAGAUUUCACUUCAUAACUAAAUAAAUUCUUAAGUUGCCAGAAGAUGUCAAAGCUCAUCAAAUCAUGUUCCACAUUGAAAAGGAAACAUGUCAACACUUUUUAUAACCAAAACUUCUAUUUUCAACACGCUGUAAAAAUAGGUGCACAAGCAAUUUGUUCAUUUCCAAUCAACAUUGCGCAAUCAAUCAACAUUCGCAUGUGAGAUGUCAGAAAUAUAAUUUGAAGCCAAUGUAUCUAUAAAGAGUACAUUAUAUGUACAUAUACAUUUAGUAAAAUGUUAUCAUAUAACAUUUUGUCAUAUAAUAUUCCGUCUUAAUUUACAGAAUCAAUAAAUUCCAAUAAAUAUUAGCUGUCCUAUUAAACAUAGAUUUUGUAUUUUGGCUAACCGAAUGUGGAAGAUAUAUGUAUUCAUUUUCUAUGUAUGCAUAUAAGUCCAAUAUAAUUAUUGCGUUUUAAUGAGAACCUGAGGUCAGCUAAUGACAAAACAGAGGUGUUGCAAACUAAUUAGAAACAUGCAACAAUAGAUCAGUUCAAGCAUCACACUUUUUAUGUACUGCAAGUAAUUAAUUAGGACUAGCAUGGGAUAUCAUUCUUUCAAUUUCCCAGUUUGCAAUAGAUAUAAUAGUCUUAUAAUGAUUAGUUGCAUGAUUAUGUCUCAGAUGCCAUAAUUAAUUACUAAUAUAACAUGAGAUAGGAGGCGGAAAGGUCAAUGAAGAAACUCAAUUUUGGUCUGAGGACAUGUUUAUGCUGGUCUACACUAUAUUCUGAGAGGAUAAUUAUUAAUUAUAUGUACGGCGUUCACUAUCUAGCUAAUAUUCUGAUAAUAACAUUAAUAUAAAAUAUAUACAAUAACUGGUAAUAACAUAGUUCUGGAAGAGCGAGUGCAUUAUUAUGCCAAAAUACUAUAAUUUAUGAAGACACCUUUAAAAAAUAACAUAUUAUAUAAAGUACCUGCCUAUUUACCACUACAGUCGUGGCUACAUUCUAUGUGAGUAAUUUGUUACUGUCUGUUACCCUGCCCAACACUAAGACAAGCAAUGCAUUUUGGGAGUUUAUGUUAUAUCCCGACGUGCAGCCACAAGGCUAAAUUUAAAUCCCAGGAUGAUGGUUCAAUUUAAAGGGACAUUAUAGUCACCUGAACAACUUUAGCUUAAUGAAGCAGUUUUGGUGUAUAGAACAUGCCCCUGCAGCCUCACUGCUCAAUCCUCUGCCAUUUAGGAGUUAAAUCCCUUUGUUUAUGAACCCUAGUCACACCUCCCUGCAUGUGACUUGCACAGCCUUCCAUAAACACUUCCUGUAAAGAGAGCCCUAUUUAGGCUUUCUUUAUUGCAAGUUCUGUUUAAUUAAGAUUUUCUUAUCCCCUGCUAUGUUAAUAGCUUGCUAGACCCUGCAAGAGCCUCCUGUAUGUGAUUAAAGUUCAAUUUAGAGAUGGAGAUACAAUUAUUUAAGGUAAAUUACAUCUGUUUAAAAGUGAAACCAGUUUUUUUUUUUUUCAUGCAGGCUCUGUCAAUCAUAGCCAGGGGAGGUGUGGCUAGGGCUGCAUAAACAGAAACAAAGUGAUUUAACUCCUAAAUGACAGUGAAUUGAGCAGUGAAAUUGCAGGGG